rnacentral:rRNA from 1 species
AUACGGAGGGUGCAAGCGUUAUCCGGAUUUAUUGGGUUUAAAGGGUGCGCAGGCGGCGAUGUAAGUCAGUGGCGAAAGGCUGCCGCUUAACGGUAGGACUGCCAUUGAUACUGCAUUGCUUGAGUAUGGUUGAGGUAAGCGGAAUGUGUGGUGUAGCGGUGAAAUGCAUAGAUAUCACACAGAACACCGAUUGCGAAGGCAGCUUACUAAGCCAUUACUGACGCUGAUGCACGAAAGCGUGGGUAGCGAACAGGAUUAGAAACCCUAGUAGUCC